rnacentral:rRNA from 1 species
AUUGAACGCUGGCGGAAUGCUUUACACAUGCAAGUCGAACGGCAGCACGGGGGCAACCCUGGUGGCGAGUGGCGAACGGGUGAGUAAUACAUCGGAACGUGCCCAGUCGUGGGGGAUAACGUAGCGAAAGCUACGCUAAUACCGCAUACGAUCUACGGAUGAAAGCGGGGGAUCGCAAGACCUCGCGCGAUUGGAGCGGCCGAUGGCAGAUUAGGUAGUUGGUGGGGUAAAGGCUCACCAAGCCUUCGAUCUGUAGCUGGUCUGAGAGGACGACCAGCCACACUGGGACUGAGACACGGCCCAGACUCCUACGGGAGGCAGCAGUGGGGAAUUUUGGACAAUGGGCGAAAGCCUGAUCCAGCCAUUCCGCGUGCAGGAUGAAGGCCCUCGGGUUGUAAACUGCUCUUGUACGGAACGAAACGGCCUUUUCUAAUACAGAGGGCUAAUGACGGUACCGUAAGAAUAAGCACCGGCUAACUACGUGCCAGCAGCCGCGGUAAAGUAU